GACGAACGCUGGCGGCGUGCCUAAUACAUGCAAGUCGAACGCAGUGGGGACGGGUGAGUAACACGUGGGUAACCUCCCAUCAGAGGGGAUAACCCUUGUAACCAGGUGCUAAACCGAAACAGACGGUUGGACCCGCGGUGCAUUGGCUUGUGGGUGAGGUAACGGUUAACAAAGGCCACGAUGCAUAGCCGACCUGAGAGGGUGAUCGGCUACACUGGGACUGAGACACGGCCCAGACUCCUACGGGAGGCAGCAGUAGGGAAUCUUCGGCAAUGGCCGAAAGUCUGACCGAGAAACGCCGCGUGAGUGAAGAAGGUUUUCGGAUCGUAAAACUCUGUUGUUAGAGAAGCGGUAUCUAACCAGAAAGCCACGGCUAACUACGUGCCAGCAGCCGCGGUAAUUC
rnacentral:rRNA from 1 species